AUCCAAGUGCACGGGUUUUACACGCAUCAGUGAGGAGACAUCCGAGAUCGUGUUUUUGCUAGUUGAAAACUACCAAAUUGACCACUUCAGCCGGCCCCUUGGGGAAGGCUGGGAAUUUUUGAAAAAAUACAUG
rnacentral:snRNA from 1 species